rnacentral:rRNA from 1 species
AACCAGCACCUCAAGUGGUCAGGAUGAUUAUUGGGCCUAAAGCAUCCGUAGCCUGUUCUGUAAGUUUUCGGUUAAAUCUAUGCGCUCAACGUAUAGGCUGCCGAAAAUACUGCAGAACUAGGGAGUGGGAGAGGUAGACGGUACUCGGUAGGAAGGGGUAAAAUCCUUUGAUCUAUUGAUGACCACCUGUGGCGAAAGCGCUCUACUGGACCAUUACUGACACUCAGAGGCGAAAGCUAGGGUAGCAAAAGGG